rnacentral:rRNA from 1 species
UGCGUAGGGGUUCUGAGAGGAAGGUCCCCCACACUGGUACUGAGACACGGACCAGACUCCUACGGGAGGCAGCAGUGAGGAAUAUUGGUCAAUGGCCGGGAGGCUGAACCAGCCAAGUCGCGUGAGGGAAGACGGCCCUACGGGUUGUAAACCUCUUUUGUCAGGGAGCAAGAGGCGGGUCGAGACCUGCUGUGAGAGUACCUGAAGAAAAAGCAUCGGCUAACUCCGUGCCAGCAGCCGCGGUAAUACGGAGGAUGCGAGCGUUAUCCGGAUUUAUUGGGUUUAAAGGGUGCGCAGGCGGAGGCACAAGUCAGCGGUAAAAUCGCGGGGCUCAACCCCGCUCCGCCGUUGAAACUGUGUCCCUUGAGUGCGCGAAGGGUAGGCGGAAUGCGUGGUGUAGCGGUGAAAUGCAUAGAUAUCACGCAGAACUCCGAUCGCGAAGGCAGCCUACCGGCGCGCAACUGACGCUCAUGCACGAAAGCGUGGGUAUCGAACAGGAUUAGAUACCCUGGUAGUCCACGCAGUAAACGAUGAAUGCUAUCUGUCCGGCCGGAAUGACGGCUGGGUGGC